GCGCUGGGAGUUUGGGUUUGGUUGGCUGCAGCCAGCCAGCCGUGUAAAAACUCCAACGCCGGGCGCCGCGGGCAGCACCCACGGAGACCCGCGGGGAGCUGAGUGCAGCGCCUGACCAUGAGGAACACAAGCAAGGAACUUCAGGGCGCCACGCACCGCUACGCUCCCUGCGAUUGGUAUUACCACGUCCCAGUGAAGCGCUCUGAGAAGGCCGUGGAUGCCCCACCAGCGUCCCAGAUCCCAGGUCUCAGCAAUUUGGGAGACUCACACAGUGAGAACCUGCCUGGGACUCGGAGAUGCUGGAUAAAAGAAACAGAUUCGGAAUAUGUGAAGCUCGCCAAACAAGGCGGCAGGCCCGGUGAGCCCCCUCCUGCCCUGUUCAGUGUGGCAGCCUCGCAGGCGGUGAGGGGGGCGUUUGUUCCUAAUUUCUUCCAUAUAAAAAUAUUACUAUAGAGUCUGUAUGUUUAGCUUAGAGCCUUGGGAAAGCUAGGU
rnacentral:sRNA from 1 species